CAUGUCGUUAAAAUGUUUGUGACUUUUGUUUCAAAGAAUAAUCAUAUCACAGCCAUUUUGACGAGUUUGG
rnacentral:pre_miRNA from 12 species